GUUUGAUCAUGGCUCAGGAUGAACGCUAGCGGGAGGCUUAACACAUGCAAGUCGAGGGGCAUCACGAGGUAGCAAUACUUUGGUGGCGACCGGCAGACGGGUGAGUAACGCGUAUGCAACCUACCCUGUACAGGGGGAUAACCCGGAGAAAUUCGGACUAAUAUCCCAUAAUAUUAUUUGGAGGCAUCUUCGGAUAAUUAAAGUUCCGGCGGUACGGGAUGGGCAUGCGUAACAUUAGCUAGUUGGUAAGGUAACGGCUUACCAAGGCUUUGAUGUUUAGGGGUCCUGAGAGGGUGGUCCCCCACACUGGUACUGAGACACGGACCAGACUCCUACGGGAGGCAGCAGUGAGGAAUAUUGGUCAAUGGGCGCAAGCCUGAACCAGCCAUCCCGCGUGCAGGAAGACGGCCCUAUGGGUUGUAAACUGCUUUUCCGAAAGGCGAAACUCAGCGACGUGUCGUUGAUUGACGGUAUUUCGGGAAUAAGCAUCGGCUAACUCCGUGCCAGCAGCCGCGGUAAUACGGAGGAUGCGAGCGUUAUCCGGAUUCAUUGGGUUUAAAGGGUGCGUAGGCGGACUAAUAAGUCAGUGGUGAAAUCCUGCAGCUUAACUGCAGAACUGCCAUUGAUACUGUUAGUCUUGAGUUUGGUUAAGGUAGGCGGAAUGUGUAAUGUAGCGGUGAAAUGCUUAGAUAUUACACAGAACACCAAUUGCGUAGGCAGCUUACUGGACCGACACUGACGCUGAGGCACGAAAGCGUGGGGAUCGAACAGGAUUAGAUACCCUGGUAGUCCACGCCGUAAACGAUGAUUACUCGCUGUUGGCGAUACACAGUCAGCGGCUAAGCAAAAGCAAUAAGUAAUCCACCUGGGGAGUACGG
rnacentral:rRNA from 1 species